AUAAGAGACAGAUAGUGAACCAGUACUGUGAAGGAAAGGCGAAAAGAACCCCGGGAGGGGAGUGAAAUAGAACCUGAAACCGCAUACAUACAAACAGUAGGAGCCCCUGCAGUGGGGUGACUGCGUACCUUUUGCAUAAUGGGUCAGCGACUUACGUUUUGUGGCGAGCUUAACCGAGUAGGGGAGGCGUAGCGAAAGCGAGUUCGAAUAGAGCGAAGAGUCUCAAGGCGUAGACCCGAAACCAGAUGAGCUAUCCAUGGCCAGGUUGAAGGUGUGGUAACACACACUGGAGGACCGAACCGACUAGUGUUGCAAAAUUAGCGGAUGAGCUGUGGAUAGGGGUGAAAGGCUUAACAAAUCUGGAGAUAGCUGGUUCUCCCCGAAAACUAUUGAGGUAGUGCCUCGUGUAUUGCUCCAGGGGGUAGAGCACUGUUAUGGCUAGGGGGACAUGGCGUCUUACCAAACCAUGGCAAACUCCGAAUACUUGGAAGUAAGAGCACGGGAGACAGAGCACCGGGUGCUAACGUCCGGACUCAAGAGGGAAACAACCCAGACCGCCGUUUAAGGUCCCAAAUAUUGACUAAGUGGAAAACGAAGUGUGAAGGCUAAGACAGUCAGGAAGUUGGCUUAGAAGCAGCCAUCCUUCAAAGAAAGCGUAAUAGCUCACUGAUCGAGUCCUCAUGCGCGGAAGAUGUAACGGGGCUAAGUCAAUAACCGAAAGCGCGGAUUUGCAUGAAAAUGCAAGUGGUAGGGGAGCGUUCUGUAAGCCUGCGAAGGUGGUUCGAGAGGACUGCUGGAGGUAUCAGAAGUGCGAAUGCUGACAUGAGUAACGUUAAAGCGGGUGAAAAGCCCGCUCGCCGUAAGCCCAAGGUUUCCUGCUCUACGUUCAUCGGAGCAGGGUGAGUCGGCCCCUAAGGCCAGGCUGAGAAGCGUAGUCGAUGGGAAGCAGAUUAAUAUUUCUGCACCAUGUGCAAGUGCGAUGGGGGGACGGAGUGCGAAAGAUCAUCCGGGUGUUGGAUGUCCCGGUUUGUGAGUGUAGAAGGCCGACAGGCAAAUCCGUCGGCGGAUCUUCGAGACAAAGCAUCGAGGUUCUACGGAACCGAAGUGAUCGGAAGUGCUUCCAGGAAAAGCCUCUAAGCUCCAGCUUGCAUAUGACCGUACCGUAAACCGACACUGGUGGGCGAGUUGAAUAUACUCAGGCGCUUGAGAGAACUCGGGAGAAGGAACUCGGCAAAUUGACACCGUAACUUCGGGAUAAGGUGUGCCUUUGUAGCGUGAAGAGAGAAACACUCGGAGCGUGAAGAGGCCUCAGAGAAUCGGUGGCUGCAACUGUUUAUUAAAAACACAGCACUCUGCAAAGACGAAAGUCGACGUAUAGGGUGUGAUGCCUGCCCGGUGCUGGAAGAUUAAGUGAUGGGGUGAGAGCUCCUGAUCGAAGUCCCAGUAAACGGCGGCCGUAACUAUAACGGUCCUAAGGUAGCGAAAUUCCUUGUCGGGUAAGUUCCGACCUGCACGAAUGGCAUAAUGAUGGCCACACUGUCUCCUCCCGAGACUCAGUGAAGUUGAAAUGUUUGUGAUGAUGCAAUCUCCCCGCGGCUAGACGGAAAGACCCCAUGAACCUUUACUGUAGCUUUGCAUUGGACUUUGAACCGAUUUGUGUAGGAUAGGCGGGAGGCAGAGAAAGCGCAACGCCAGUUGUGCCGGAGCCGACGUUGAAAUACCGCCCUGAUUUGUUUGAGGUUCUAACCGCGACCCGUGAGCCGGGUCCGGGACCGUGCAUGGCAGGCAGUUUGACUGGGGCGGUCUCCUCCUAAAGGGUAACGGAGGAGUACAAAGGUACGCUAGGUACGGUCGGAAAUCGUGCUGAUAGUGCAAAGGCAAAAGCGUGCUUGACUGCGAGACCGACAAGUCGAGCAGAUGCGAAAGCAGGUCUUAGUGAUCCGGUGGCUCUGUAUGGAAGGGCCAUCGCUCAACGGAUAAAAGGUACUCUGGGGAUAACAGGCUGAUACCGCCCAAGAGUUCAUAUCGACGGCGGUGUUUGGCAC
rnacentral:rRNA from 1 species